GUUGACCUCAGAUCAGGUAGGAAUACCCGCUGAACUUAAGCAUAUCAAUAA
rnacentral:rRNA from 1 species